AUUAUUCUUGUCUAUGAGGCUUUAAUGCUUCUCAGCUGGGACCUUCAGCUUCAAAAUAAAUGAUCAAAAAUGCAAAUUUGACCUGUUCACUUGCUCUGGUUGUAGGACUGCUAAAUGGUAGAUGGAUGAAAUUGGCCCUAAACAUCUUAACCAUUUGAUAGAAUAUUGUUCAUCAUCUUCCAUCUGCUUGUGGUGGGCUAAAUUUUGGACUUCAUUGUGCCAAGGAAGGGAACAAUUUGCAGGAGCAGUGGAAAUGUUUGCAUAAGUUGUACAACAAAAGCCACAUAUACAAACCAGAAAAGACAACACCAAAAACAAAAACAAAACUUGGUGUUGUGUAGUAGUGCAUAUAUGAUACAUCAAAUUGGGAAUAAACGCCAUCUUCCUCGAUCUCAAGCGGGGCAGAACGAGGAUUAGGAGUUCUAUUCCACACAAUUGGCGAAGCCUUUCGUUUCUCCUCCUUUAUCUCGUCGCAAUUCGUCUCCCUCGAUGGGCAACACCUCCUCCAUGCUCACCCAAUACGACAUCGAAGAAGUCCAGGAGCACUGCAACCACGCCUUUUCGCAGCAAGAGAUUGUAUCUCUGUACCACAGAUUCUGCCAGCUCGAUCGUAACAGCAGUGGAUUUAUACCCGGGGAUGAGUUCUUGUCAGUGCCGGAGUUCGCAGUUAAUCCGCUUUCUCAGAGGCUACUAAGGAUGCUGGACGGCUUAAAUUUUAAAGAAUUUGUUGCUUUCCUUUCUGCUUUCAGUCCGCGGACAAGCUUGCAGCAAAAAAUCGAAUUUAUAUUCAGGGUCUAUGAUUUUGAUUCCAAUGGAAGAGUCACAUUCGAUGAUAUAUUGGGCGUAUUACGAGACUUGACGGGUUCUUUUAUAAGCGAGCAGCAGAGGCAGAAAGUUUUGACCCGUGUCCUUGAAGAAGCUGGCUACACAAAAGAUUCAUCGCUCGUCUUGUCUGACUUCAUGAAGAUUCUUGGCAACUCUGAUUUGAAGAUGGAGGUUGAAGUUCCUAUUGAUUGAGAAGCAUUGCCAAGAAAUAUUAUCUUUUCCUACUAGAGUCUGAUCUGUUGAUGAUGAAUAAAUGGUUCAUCAGAAAAGGGCAGCCACUACCAGUGAGAUUGGCUGAACAAAGAUUCUGCAUCCCACUAUUGUGCAGCUCAAGGAUGCUGGAGAGCAGCACCCACUGAUGCACAUCAAAAAGGAAAAGAAAGAAGACACAAUGGAUGGGUGGCCUUCCUCCAUUUCUCCCACAUGUAUAUGGAUCCUGUCACCUUAUUGCAAGGUUCAAACUUACAAAGUAUUGGUUUGGCUUUUUCUAGUGCUCCACCUCUUUCUUCUUUCUCUGCAGGACUGGUUAGACUGUUGAUAAGCUUGAUGUCAUGAGGGAGAGGAAUUGUGUUUGCGCUGAGGAAUUCAAUGAUCUAGUCGCCGAAGUUGGACAUGCUCGUCUCCCCAAAGACGGAGGACGAGAGGCCAAGAGAGGAGGCGAAGGUGGCGGUGGUGCUGUCGCCGGCGAGAGACCGCUUCAGCCGGCCCAAGUCGUCGGCGGCGUCCAUCAUCGUCGGCCUGGACGAUGGGCUCUCCUGACUGCACAGCAGGCCCAGCUCCAGCAGCUCUCCAAUGGCGGCCUCCCACAAUAUCUGCACCUCCGGCAUUUGCCGCCGCACCUCGCUCGCCAGCGCGGAAUCGACGAUUGCCGCCGCGCGGCCGUGGUAGUGGCUCUUCACCCACCCGUGCAUGCUCAUCUCGCCCUCGAACAUCUCGUCGGUGGGUCUCCUUCCGGUGACCACUUCCAGCACUACCACGCCGAAGCUGUACACAUCCCCCUUCGUUGACGCAUUCGAUCCAUAUCCAUAUUCUGUACGACAUGCGCAUUAGAGAGAGAGAGAGAGAGAGAGAGAGAGAGAGAGAGAGGGAGGGAGAGAGAGAGAGAGAGGACCUGGAGCAAUGUAGCCAAUGGAGCCACGGAGCAUGUUGGCGGUGGAACUCCCGGUGUUCUCCGCCGUGUUCCCAACUCCGACACUCAUCACCAACCUUGCAAUCCCGAAGUCAGAGACCAAGGCGGUCAUGUCAUCGUUGAGAAGCACGUUGCUGGGUUUCAGAUCGCAGUGGAUCACCUUCACCGGAGAGUGGUGGUGCAAGUAGGCCAUCCCUUCCGCGAUGUCACUGCAGACGUUCACCCUCUGAAUCAAGCUCAGCUCGGCAGAGCCCGAAUGGAGGCGGCUCUCCAGGCUGCCGUUCCCCAUGAACGGCAGCACCAACGCCUUAAAGUCCGGCAGGCUGCAUGCCGUUAUGAUCCUCAUCAGGUUCCGAUGCCUGAUCCUCUUCAGAACUUGGCACUCUCUGUUGAAGCUCCUCGUGGAGUUACCCGCUUGCAGGUUCAGCACCUUCACUGCAACAACGGUUCCAUCUCUCAGGACUCCUCUGUAAACAUGCCCAUAGCUUCCCGACCCAACCAGUCUUCCCUGAUCGAAUUCCUCCGUCGCCGCCACAAGCUCCCGGUAGCUGAUCCGAGGGUAGCUCGACCUGACUACCGGCGAUGAACCACCAAAACCAUCCCCUGCCCUCCCUAUGCCCAUGCCUCUUAUCUUUCUAACCACCAUCACACAGCAUACUGUCAGCACAAACGCCACCGCCGAAGCGCCGACGGCCACAGCUAUCAAGAACUUGCGAGAAUUAGACCAUCGUCGGCGUCGAGGGCAGGUCCUUCCGACAACCGACCCGCAGAGGUGAGGGUUUCCGAGAUAGGAGAGGUCGGUGAACGACGAGAAGACUCCACCGGUGGGCACCGAUCCAUUGAAGUCAUUGUACGAAAGAUUCAGCACGGUGAGACCGGCGCACCCGUUGAGGCUCGACGGGAUCUCCCCAUCCAAGUAAUUGAAGGAAACAUCAAGCGUCUCGAGGUUUUGGAGAUGACCAAGUGCGGUCGGAAGCUGUCCUCUGAGGUGGUUAUGUGACAGAUUGAUCAGCCUCAGCUCAGCACAAGACGAGAGCCGAGAGGUGAUCUCGCCGGCGAGCUUGUUCGCGGACAGAUCGAUCUCUUGCACCUGAUCCAUCUUGCCCAGCUCCUCCGGAAGAGGCCCCCGCAGCCGGUUGUUCGACAGGUUGAAGUAUAUCUUCGCAAUGCCUGAUACUUCCGGGGGAAUCCUCCCUGUCAAUCUAUUAUACGACAGGUCCAGCUUGUUCAAGCUCAUGCAUCGCCCGAGUGUUGCAGGUAUCGAUCCAGAGAGCUGGUUCUUGUGAAGAUCAAGCAGACCAACCGAGACGAGACCUCCGAUCUCGGAGGGAAUAAACCCGACGAAGAAGUUGCAGGACAGAAACAAUCUCUCCAGCUUCGGGAGCUGCCAGAUCUCCUUUGGGAGCGUCCCAUUUAGAAGGUUGCUCGACAGGUUCAACAGGGUCAGGUUGGAGAGGUUUGAGAUGUCAGGAGGGAUUUGGCCGGAGAUCAUGUUGUCUUCCAUGUUGACGAUGGACAGAUUCUGCUUACCCUCACCGAUCCUGGGUGGCAACGAUCCACCAACACCGAGCCCUGCCAUCUCAAGCUCCUGGAGGUGGGAACAGUUGGAGAGAGCUAAGAAGAAGGGCUCGAGGUUAGUGUUGCUGUCAUGGCUUAGCAGAUUGUUGUGAGACAAGUGAAGGACUUCGAGUUCACUCAUUCCCCGCACUGUCUCGGUGGGCAGCUCACCUGAAAGGUAGUUGUUCUCCACGUCCAGUUGAAGCAGGCGCGACGAGUUCGAAAGCCACCGAGGUAAUCGUCCGGUCAAAUCGUUCAUGUAGAGAUUGAGGAUGAGCAGAUAUUGAAGACCCGUUCCCACUUCCGAUGGGAUCUCACCAAACAGAGCAUUGUCGGAGAGGUCGACGACAACCAAGUGAGUGCAAUUGUGGAAGAUGGCGUCUGGAAUCUGCCCUGCGAGCUUGUUGCUGCGGAUGUUGAGGUAGCCGAGCUUGGUGAGGUAGGCGAGUGACGGAGGAAUCGUACCGUUUAGCAGGUUCCCCGAGAGAUCGAGGAUGGUGAGGUUUCUCAAGUAGGAAAUCUCCGGCGGUAUGUGCCCGGUGAGGUGGUUCUCCGACAAGUCCAGCGUGUCAAGGCCGGUGAGGUUGGCGAGGACCGGUGAGAGGGCGCCGGAGAUGAGCUGGCGGCGGAGGACGAGGUACUUGACAUGGAGAUGCCGCCGGUUGCAUCUGACGCCCACAAACUGGCAAACUCCGGUGGUCUCGUUCCAGUUUGGGAGAACCAGUUGGGACUGCAGUGUGAGCGAGCUCUUGAAGGCCAAGAGGGCAGCUUUCUCCUGCUGGAUUGGCUGCUGCCGGUUAGGCAGGAGGCGGUGGUGUUCGGCCGCGGCAAUGUUUUGGAGGAGGAGGAGAAAGAUGGCAUGCUUCAUCACCAUGAACUGUAUCAUGCUUACCAGUGCAUGAUAUGUAGCUGUGCAUCAUCUCUUUAACUGGUAGAAGAAUGAAUCAGGUAGUAACAGGAUGAGAUAUGGUUGACUGCAAGCCUUUCCAAGUAGUAAUAAUUAUGUGAUCCAAGAUAUUGUAGUUUGUGGAAUCAAAGUGGUGGCUCAACCAGGAAAGUGCAGCCAUAUCAGAGCUUCCUGUUGAAGGAAGUGGAUGAGAAUGAUGAGUUUCCAAUAACACAGUAAUGCUGACUUUGGGAGAAAGCAGAGUGCCAUCUAAUCUCUGGUGCUCAAUUAGUGCUUGAGGUGAUCAUCUGCAAGAAACACUUCAUUAGCUCAAAUCAUGAAACCAGGUGGGUUCUUUGUGGGACUUGGAAUCUCAACAUGAUAGUGGGAGUACCAUAGAGGGGUAGAAAAACAUGACACCAGGUCAAAUUUUGUCACACUAGUAGAAAAUGUGAAUGCAGCAAGCUCAUAACCUAGCUUUUUUCUAGCAGAUCUCAAGAGAGGUCUUUGUUUUAGGGUUCUGAGUUUGAGUACAGACUGUUUUUUGACAUAACUUUUCAGUAAUAUAAUGAUGUCUGCAUCAAUCCAAUUCGGUUCGAGAUUA